AGAUGAGUAGACAGACAGCCUGUUUGCCUGACCGGCACGUGUAAGGUGAACAAAUGGGUGCAUUUCCUUCGAGUCCGCCGCCUUGCCUGAGCUCAUAAUCCUAACAGGUGCAGAAACUGCCAAGUGUAAGAUGUGACCCAGCAGAUUUCAUCAAGAGAGACAACAUAAUGUGUGUCACAUUGGUGUUCAUUUCCGAGGAGAGCCAUGUAACAAGACUAUAUCAAUACAAUUGUAGGCAGAGCGAUAUUCUCGUAUUUACAGAAUUAAGUAAACAGGCCAUUGAUGCUACAAAUCGUGACUUUUUCCAGUUACGAGUCUGUAUUAGAGUAGUAUUACUUGACAAACAUCACACUACAUCUAUUGACUUUUACAUCAAUAUUGACAGACGGGGAAAUUAAAUUCACUAAACACCAAUUAAGGUGUCAGACAAUUAUUUAUGCGGAUAAGAAGUAUUUUGUGUAAUUGUGAAUACCAAAAUAAAAUUGACGAUGAUUUUCUAA